rnacentral:rRNA from 1 species
CCUANGGGGGGCAGCAGUCGAGAAUUUUUCUCAAUGGGGGAAACCCUGAAGGAGCGACGCCGCGUGGAGGAUGAAGGUCUUCGGAUUGUAAACUCCUGUCAUUUGGGAACAAUUGUUGGCGAUUAACUGUCGUCAGCUUGAUAGUACCAGAAGAGGAAGAGACGGCUAACUCUGUGCCAGCAGCCGCGGUAAUACAGAGGUCUCAAGCGUUGUUCGGAUUCAUUGGGCGUAAAGGGUGCGUAGGUGGCGGGGUUAGUCAGGUGUGAAAUCUCGGGGCUCAACCCCGAAACUGCACUUGAUACUGCCUUGCUAGAGUACUGGAGAGGAGAUUGGAAUUUACGGUGUAGCAGUGAAAUGCGUAGAUAUCGUAAGGAAGACCAGUGGCGAAGGCGAAUCUCUGGACAGUUACUGACACUGAGGCACGAAGGCUAGGGGAGCAAACGGGAUUAGAUACCCUUNUANUC